GGUCGCGUAGCCGAGCGGUCUAAGGCGCUGGUUUAAGGCACCGGAGGCGUGGGUUCGCAUCCCACCGCUGCCA